AACGAACGCUGGCGGCAGGCCUAACACAUGCAAGUCGAGCGCCCGCAAGGGAGCGGCGGACGGGUGAGUAACGCGUGGGAACGUGCCUCUUGCUUCGGAAUAGCCUCGGGAAACUGGGGGUAAUACCGAAUGUGCCCUACGGGGGAAAGAUUUAUCGGCAAGAGGUCGGCCCGCGUUGGAUUAGGUAGUUGGUGGGGUAAUGGCCUACCAAGCCGACGAUCCAUAGCUGGUUUGAGAGGAUGAUCAGCCACACUGGGACUGAGACACGGCCCAGACUCCUACGGGAGGCAGCAGUGGGGAAUCUUAGACAAUGGGCGCAAGCCUGAUCUAGCCAUGCCGCGUGAGCGAUGAAGGCCUUAGGGUUGUAAAGCUCUUUCGUGGGGGAAGAUAAUGACUGUACCCCAAGAAGAAGCCCCGGCUGACUCCGUGCCAGCCGCCGCAGUAA
rnacentral:rRNA from 1 species